AGUGGGGUAGCUUAGUGGUAGAGCACUUGCCUAACAUGCAUGAGGCUUUGAGUUUGAUUUCCAACACUG
rfam:Fukomys damarensis contig114073, whole genome shotgun sequence.